rnacentral:lncRNA from 1 species
GAAGGCAGGAAAGGAGAAACCCUUCUCCUUCAAUUGAGUUCAAGAAAUUCAGCCAAUUGAAGCCCUAAUCGUAGUUGUACUCAUGCAUGUCAAUGAUUUCUUGGUCAUCUAGCCCUAAUAAAUACAUGGAACCACACUAGCAUGGACCAAGCAUGGAAGGCUAACGGGUCAAGAUGAGGCAAGGAAGCGGGUAUGAACACGGAUGCACAAGGAACGAGUACAUCGGAUUCUUACGAAAUUUAAGCCCAACCCGGAAUAAGAGGAUGAGUAAGGAUAGUUGGAUGAACUAA